rnacentral:rRNA from 1 species
CUGGUGUAUCUGCUGCGAAGGCAAUCGCAUAAGGCAGGGUAGCCAAGUCUGGCAGGGAUAAACGCUGAAGGCAUCUAAGCGUGAAGCCCCCCUCAAGAUGAGAUAUCCCCACGCAAGUGGUAAGACCCCUUGGAGAGUACGAGGUUGAUAGGCACAAGGUGUAAGAGUGGUAACAUUCUCAGCUGAUGUGUACUAAUAGGUCGAGGACUUAACCA